UUUGGUAAUUGUGACAUGACCAGCACGUCUGCUCUGGCACAGGGGAGAGACCUUCAGGCCCCAAAGGUGUCUUCACUCUUCCCUGGGUCUAGGAAUCCAAAGGCUAUUUUGAGGGGAAACUGAGGCACAUAGGAAGUAAGCAAGUCUGGCUGGACCAAGUCCUGCACUUGAUUCAACACAGGAACAGCUGCAGCUUUGAUACUUCUGGAAAUACUCAGAUGUGACUAAAAAUGGCUACAGUUAUGAAUGGUAUCUACACUUGAAAAUUGAAGAGCAUACCUGGAGAUAAAGAAGGAACAGAUGUCUCCAGACAAGACCC